UUGUUGUUGUGCAUUUUUUCGACUACAAACGAGGUUUUGCUUUUCUUUUCCUGUUGUUCUUCUCAUUCAUGUUUUCUUUUUGUUCUGAUGCAUGUUAAGUUUUUGUUUUUCUGUGUUUUUGGUCUAUGUUUUGAUCCGUUGUUACCCUAUGUUUUGUGAGAUUCUGGCCAACUAAUAGGUGUUAAAGCUCUUUUUGUUCAAUGAAGUAUGCUUCGUGCUCUCCUUUUUUGCAUGCCGACUUUUUUUCACAUCUGGUUAGAGUGAUCCUUGAAAAUAGAGAGCAACACGGACAAUCACAGUGAAGAAGACGCAUAUGCAAUGCUCAAGGAAUGUUCCAUGGAUCCCAACAAGACUACUCAGAAGCUUCUCCUUCAGGUUUGCAAAGAUGAGCGGUGCGGGGUUUAGGGCUUUAAUUCUGAGCAGUGUGAGGAGGACGAUCCAUAAAUUUUUUCACCAAUCUGCAUUAUGGCCUAUAAAAUUGGAGAAUUGGAGUGACAUGCUUGCAUCCUCAAGAGUAUCACUCGGCCAUGAAAAAUUUACACAGGAUAAGGUCUUUAUUUUUUAAGUUUUCCAUAGUGUUCUACUUAUGAAUGUUUUAACAGAGUAUUUAAAAAGGUAAUUUGAAGAAGAAGAAAAUAGAGGCUUAGGCAACUAAGAAAGACAGAUGAAGCUGAAGGUAUAUGCGGACUAGAUGUCCCAACCGUCCCGUGCGGUUCUCAUAUUGGAAUCAUGAAGUAUAUUGGAAUCAUGAAGUAUAUGAAUUUGGAUGCUUAUAGAUUUUCCAUUUCAUGGUCUAGGGUACUAUCGAGAGGAAAGCUUAGUGUAGGUGUAAACCAUGAAGGAGUGAACUACUACAACAACCUCAUCAAUGAGCUCAUGGCUAAUGGUCAUAAUUCAUUAAUAUUUAUUUCUAUAACUCUUUACAUUGGAAUAGUAUCUUAACCAUAUGGUUGUUAAUCAUAUAUAAUCACCAUAAAUCGUGGUUUUUUAAGUCCUCACAUUGUGUAAGUAAAAUCAAUUUCCUUCCAUUAUCAUAUGUACUAACUCUCUGAUCUGUAUGAGCAGCUCCAAUCUCCAAUUCCAUGGAGCUGGACCAAUUACAAGACAAGUCGUUGAGGUGUGAGUCUGAAAUAUACUAUAUACUAUAUACUAUAUACUAUAUACUAUAUACUAUAUAUUAAAAGAGAAGGCAAGAGAAGGCCAGGAAAAUUACUAUUGUGCCCAUGCUUGAGAGCUUGCCAGGUGUCCAUUUUAUUGGCUUUUUGGUCAUUUUAUGCCCCUCCAGCUUUGCCUUGGUUUUGUGCCACCUGGCUACCAUGUGUCUAGCUUUGAACUUUUGUUCUGCUGCCAACUCCACAUAUCAUUCUCAAACUGGCGGAUUUCAGCUUCUAUUUAAUUUUGCUUGAUAAUCUGUCUCAAAUCCUAAAUCUUUGUUUUGUGCCACCUGGUUAUUGUGGUGUGUUUGUCACUCUUUUGCUGAGCCACAUGGUUUUAUGAUUAAAGCUUUCCGGUUAUUAUGGUUUUGGGUUGUUGUUUUGUAUCAUUCUGUGAUUGUGGUUUUCGGGUGGUGCUUUGUAUCAUUUUCGUUUGCUUCAUUUUACUUCCUUUUCCGGUUCUAUUGCUUCUGCAUUUUAAGGUAUGACUUUUUUUUAUGUUAUGCAUUUGCAUGCCUGUUUUUGCAGCGCCUGUAUCUGGUUUACUGCCUUUUUUGUGCUAUUUUCCAGCUUAGCAUACAUGCAGAUUUAAAUGUCCUGAAGAAGAGGAUAGAGACGAUGCAUUUGUAAUAACCUUGAGUUCUUUUGAUAAAAUUGAUGUUCAAAAACCUUGGACGGGUUGCUAGUGUUCUUUUUCUUCUUACUUUAUUCUUUGAAAUUAAUGUCACUAUUAUUCAAUAUUUGAUGUUUGCCCUUAUACUGCAGAAUUUGUGUGUAACUGCAGCACAUCGGCCUAUUAAAGAGAUAUUAGAAAAGGGAAAAAAAGUAUUUCUCUUUUUUGUUAGUGUUAUACUUCGUAUCUAUGGGUUUGUCAUUGCUUUUGAUGGUAAGUUACAGUUGGGUUGCAUGCAUAAAUCUUUCCAUAAAGUCUACAUGCUAUUUGCAUGUGUUGAACAUUACGCUCUAAACUUAAGACCUUGGUUGAGACAAAGCAACAAUAGACUUGGAGAGUUCUUUAUUUCUUGAUGAUCUUAGAUUUUGAAUUCAUUUAUGAUUAAGUUGUUAGCCAGUAAUUUUAAUGAAGGGGAAUUAUUGUAUCCUUUACAAAAUAUAUGGGUUUAUGAUUGAAAGGAGCUAAUGUAUCCUUAAUGUGUUUGAUGCAUGACAGGAACAUGUUGCUGCUCUAGUAGAAGGGCAAUUGGGUGAGGUGAACGUUCUUCGGUUUGUUAUGAGAAGUCAAGUUUUAUUCAAUCACUUCUUCUUCUCUUGCAUUUGGAUUUCGCUUCUUAUUGGUUGUUGAGAUAGUUAAGGUUCAUUUGUGUUCAGUGAUUGUUUAGUAUAGUUUUUCUUCCACUGCUUUUUUUUUUUCAGUUUGUUUCUAUUUUUUUGCUAACCUUGCUGACUUUCUUUUGUCUUUUAGUUUUCGUUUUGUUAGGUGUUUCACUUGGUUAUAAAGAGUAAGAAUUUAGUUUCAUUUAUGCAUGCUUGCUUUUGCUCUGUUAGUGGUUGGUCACAUAAACAAGGUUUAAUUUUUACUGAGUCAUAUGCAUGUGUGCCCCUAACUUUGCUAUUUAUUUCUCGAUUUUCUUUUCUAUUUUUUUUUUGUUAUUUUCAUGCAACUCAGGUGGGAAUGGAACUUAACAAAUAGUUUGGUCAGAAACAAAAUAAGUGCCUGAGAGUAUGUAUCGUCAAUAUAGUCGCCAAUGUGGCUUUCAAUUUUUCUUCUUCUCUGUUUUCAAGGUUUGGUUUAACUUCUACAUCAAUUUGUAAGAACCAUAUAUUCAAUGUUUAAUUAUACACAAGCACACAUUAUACCUGGUUAGCAAUGUUGAUUCAAUUUAUUCUACAAUGUUGUUCACUAUAGAAUUUUUUACUGGCUCAAGUUAGGACCUGCUAGGAUCUUCACCACCGUCCACUUGUGGAGGUGGAACCGUGACUUAUGUCAAAGCCUUCAAUGAACAGGUAAUUGACAUUCUGAUGUUGAAAAUUUUGGAAAAUCAUUCUCUAUGAGCCUAUGACAGAAACUUCGAUCGUGAUAAAAAAAAUAACUCUAAAAGUACCUAAGAAAUUGUAUCUAACGAUUGUUGAUCCAUCCUUCUAACAGGUUUCUUAGU